GACGAACGCUGGCGGCGUGCCUAAUACAUGCAAGUAGAACGCACAGUUUAUACCGUAGCUUGCUACACCAUAGACUGUGAGUUGCGAACGGGUGAGUAACGCGUAGGUAACCUGCCUGGUAGCGGGGGAUAACUAUUGGAAACGAUAGCUAAUACCGCAUAAUAUUAAUUAUUGCAUGAUAAUUAAUUGAAAGGUGCAAUUGCACCACUACCAGAUGGACCUGCGUUGUAUUAGCUAGUAGGUGAGGUAACGGCUCACCUAGGCGACGAUACAUAGCCGACCUGAGAGGGUGAUCGGCCACACUGGGACUGGGACACGGCCCAGACUCCUACGGGAGGCAGCAGUAGGGAAUCUUCGGCAAUAGACGAAAGUCUGACCGAGCAACGCCGCGUGAGUGAAGAAGGUUUUCGGAUCGUAAAGCUCUGUUGUAAGAGAAGAACGGGUGUGAGAGUGGAAAGUUCACACUGUGACGGUAUCUUACCAGAAAGGGACGGCUAACUACGUG
rnacentral:rRNA from 1 species